UACGAAGGGGGCUAGCGUUGCUCGGAAUCACUGGGCGUAAAGGGUGCGUAGGCGGGUCUUUUAAGUCAGGGGUGAAAUCCUGGAGCUCAACUCCAGAACUGCCUUUGAUACUGAAGAUCUUGAGUUCGGGAGAGGUGAGUGGAACUGCGAGUGUAGAGGUGAAAUUCGUAGAUAUUCGCAAGAACACCAGUGGCGAAGGCGGCUCACUGGCCCGAUACUGACGCUGAGGCACGAAAGCGUGGGGAGCAAACGGGG
rnacentral:rRNA from 1 species